GAUAGAGUAGUAAGUCACUCUGGGUAUCUAUCUGAUACCUCAGCUUAAUUUACAUGACCCUCGUAAAUUAAGCUGGAAAUCUUCUACGUGUCGACAAGGUAUAUCUUGUCUUUGGCCAGCCCUUCUUCAGGCUGGCUUUUUUUUGC
rfam:Vibrio splendidus LGP32 chromosome 2